GUAACAAAGGGUGAUGAAAUGCUAUGUGAACAAGUCAUUCUCCCCCACUCCCUGUCAAUAUAUAUUUACAUGGACACUUAUUGAAAUGAAAUACAAAGAAAGAUCAAUGUGGUUAUUGACACGGUGCAGAAAGAUGAGGUAAUUUGAGAACAGUACAUAGCUAGAAUCUCAGUGAUGACGUAAGAAGCAGACUGGGCUAAACACGCCUGGAGGGAGGCUCACAUUUGAAGAGGACAUCAUCAGCCAAGGAACAAUGAGGAACACUUGAUGGUAGAGCAGUUCAGUUUCUCCAACAGAAAUGCCAUUCCAUUACUCCAUGCACAACACGUGCCUUGAAACACCUGGCAGAUAAAAGAACUGGAGAACUUGUAACAACGAUCGUGGCACAAUCGAUGAAAUUCAAAACGCUUGGCCAGACGAAUCCAGACCAUGUCCACACACCUCCUGCUGACUUGGACUUCUCUCUGUUGCUUUGAGACGGCCUUCAGAUCUAGAAUGCCCUUCACUCAUGCCCCAUGUGACCGCUCCCCAGCGAGAGGCUGCUGGAGCUGUGCACACUGGAGGGGUAGCAAGCAUGCUGGAAGCAUGCCUGCUCUCCUGACCUCACCAGCUGCAGGGAGAGGAAAAAGCCGAUCAACACGUGAACAGAAUGCCUGCGCUAGCCCGGGGUUCUCAGGGAAGAAGACGUGGCCUGAAAUGCAGGGCUGGGUGAAAUCUUGAGGCAGGGAAAGCCUCACAGAGGUGGCAUUUGAGAAUUACACCUUGGGGCUGUUAAAGCAAGCUUUUUUUUUCUUUUUAAAUUUGUACACAUUACAUUUUGAUCAUAUUCUUUCCCUUUCCCAAAGUCUCCCUGGAUCCUCCCCAUCUCCCUGUCUACCCAACUUCAUAUCUUCCCCUAACAAUGAUAUUAAUAACAAUAAAUAAAGUUUUAGAAAAAUACCACAAACCAAAAGACAAAAAACACCAAACCAUAACAAAAGAACACACACACAUACAUUCACACACACACACACACACACACACACACACACACACACACACACACCAGAAUAAAAAGGCACCGUGGGACCCGCUCUGUGUUAUCAAUUGCUCCUGAGCACAAGGCCUGUCCCAGAGUGUAGUUGAUGAUAAACCCAGUGCCACUCCAUCUGCAAAGGCAGAUUUCCCCUCUUUACAGCUAUCAUGCAAUGCUUGGUUAGGGGUGGGGCUCUGUGUCCACUUCUUCUCCAUCCUGGGAUUUUGUCUGACUUGGGCCUGUGCAGAUGUGUGCAUGCUUUGCCAGUCUCUGUGAGCUCAUAUGUGCGUUUUUCCUGUCAUGUCCGGGAAACAGCAUUUCCUUGGAGUCAUCCACUACCUCUGGCUCUUACAACCUUUCUCUGCCCUCUAUUCUGAGCCCGGAGGGGAGGGCUUUGGUAUAGAUAUCCCAUUUAGGGGUGAGUGCUCCAAGGUCUCUCACAGGGUGAGCUAUAGCUGUCUCUUCAUUUUGGUAUUUUCAUUUCCAGCUACCCAGGGCAAGGUUUAUCCACAUCUCAUGUACCUUCAUAUCCUCCCUCCAGAGCUAUGAACACAGUAAAUGCUUACAUUCAAAUCAAAUUAACUUUCAAAAAGUGCUACUUAUGAGCUGUUUCCUAUUUGAGUUAUAUUUUGUACCUCAUCUAGCUCUGAAUCAUAUGAGAUUUCAAAAGUCAUUGCUACCUCUAGACCUGUUUACUGUUCUCUGUUCAGAAAACCCCACCAAUGGCUGCCGAGGGCUCAUCUUGAGAGUUCAAGUGGAGAAAUAAUGGUCUCUUCCAUUAGUUUCAGAUAAUUAUGCUUUGGUGAGUAAAAAGGGAAGUUUUUUGACUUUCCACUUGAAAGCAUCCCCCCAUUGGGGGAUUCCUCAUUGAAAGCAUAAGAAAGGGAAGUUUUAGUUAACUAACCAGAGUACUGAGAGGAGCCCUAUACACUAUAAACUGGAUCUCACAAAGUCGGCAAGAGGAGGCACAGUUUUGUUUUUCUUUCUGCUUUUGUUUGUAAUGGGGGUAUCGUCUGUCUGUGUACACAUAUGUGUGUGAGUACGCUCAUGUUCAGGUGCAUGCGGACCCGGAGGUUGACAUCAGGUUUCUUCUCUACCUCAUCUCAUUAGAGAGGUCUUUCACUGUUUCCACGCACCCGGGGCUGGACUUACAGGUCCCUGCUGCCAUGCGUAGCUAGAGCCUCUCCAGUCCUUGACAAGGGCACUGGGACUGAACUCAAGUCAUCUGGCUUGCACGGCAGACAUUUCACCUACUGAGCCAUCUGCCCAGCUCUUCUUUCUCUCUUCUAAAAUAAAUGUCCUGCUCUUUUGUCCUGGACUUAAAUACUGUGGUCUAUAGAAUCUUUUAUUCCUUAAGUGACACUUAUUAAAGGUAAGUAAAUUGUUCUCCCAGAAGAACAGGUAGGGCAGGUAAUAAAAGUGCCCAUUUCUGAAGAAUCCAAAUGUCCCUAACUAGUUGGGAUCUGA